rnacentral:rRNA from 1 species
CAAAAACAUCGCCUCUUGACCAAACAUAAGAGGUCCAGCCUGCCCAGUGACGAAGUUCAACGGCCGCGGUACACUAACCGUGCGAAGGUAGCAUAAUCACUUGUUCUUUAAAUAAGGACUCGUAUCAACGGCAUCACGAGAGCUAUACUGUCUCCUCUCUCCAAUCAGUGAAACUGAUCUCCCCGUGAAGAAGCGGGGAUUCAAUUAUAAGACGAGAAGACCCCAUGGAGCUUUAAACCCAACUUACACCCCCUCACCUACACAUCACAUUAACCUAGGAACCUGUAUGUUGGCUUUAGGCUGGGGGGGCCACGGAGCUAAAUUAAACCUCCAUGACAAACGGACUAACACCCUUAUCCAUGAACUACAAUUCUAAGAAUUACCAAACUAAUGUUUAAUGACCCGAUAAUUCGAUCAACGAACCAAGUUACCCUGGGGAUAACAGCGCAAUCUACUUCAAGAGCCCUUAUCGACAAGUAGGUUUACGACCUCGAUGUUGGAUCAGGGAAUCCCAGUGGUGCAACCGCUACUAAUGGCUCGUUUGUUCAACGAUUAAAACCCUACGUGAUCUGA